UACGUAGGGUGCGAGCGUUAAUCGGAAUUACUGGGCGUAAAGCGUGCGUAGGCGGUUCGUUAAGUGCGUCGUGAAAGCCCCGGGCUCAGCCUGGGAAUGGCGAUGGAAACUGGCGGGCUGGAGUAUGGCAGAGGGGGGUGGAAUUCCGCGUGUAGCAGUGAAAUGCGUAGAGAUGCGGAGGAACACCGAUGGCGAAGGCAGCCCCCUGGGCCAAUACUGACGCUCAGGCACGAAAGCGUGGGGAGCAAACAGG
rnacentral:rRNA from 1 species